UAGGGAAUCUUCCACAAUGGACGAAAGUCUGAUGGAGCAAACGCCGCGUGAGUGAAGAAGGGUUCGGCUCGUAAAACUCUGUUGUUAAAGAAGAACAUAUCUGAGAGUAACUGUUCAGGUAUUGACGGUAUUUAACCAGAAAGCCACGGCUAACUACGUGCCAG
rnacentral:rRNA from 1 species